CCUGUCCACUGCUGGGCUGGAGGAGCCUGAAUAAACCUGCAAGAUCCAGAGAAGCUGAGGUGAGGACUGAGACAGGGUUAGAGCAGGGAGAGCAAGAGCAAGCAGAGAAAGGUUAGUUUGGGAGAAAACCAUCAAUGCUCAAAGGUUAUGGAUUGACUUGGGUGUUCACAGAGCAGCUGUAAGCUCUGAGAAUUGUGAAGCUGACCCAUGCUGUGCAGAAAUGGAAUGGAGAAAGAUCAGUGAUGGUCAGCUGAAGGAGCUCUCACUGAGGUUCUGUAUCAAUAUCCAAGGGGAAUAGCAGGGUCAAAGCAUGUACCUAGAUGCUCUUGGAAGACAAGUUAUAACACAGAGAUGAUGAUGAUGCCACAUAUUAGGAAAACAGAGUGCUUGAAGAAGCAGAUCACUUGCUCUAGAGAAGGAACAUGACAACGUUGUGCCAUCUGAGGUCCAACUAGUAGCACCUCCUAAGCAACAUGCCUAUGCCUUUUUCUUUACCUUGGUGAGUUGAUUUAGCCUUAAGAUAUCAGUUUUAUCUCCACCACUAGUAAUUCUUUGUCUCUCUUCAGCCACAUCAUCAUCUUCAUCAACAAUAGGCUCCUUGGGGGGCUCAGCAAUCCUAGGGGAAGGAAGAGGACAGGAUUGGGCUGGGUGUGUGGAGUCCUUGGCACUGUGGUAUUCACCUGACCUUUUCUCCAGUUCCCUCACUUCUGCUUCCCCUGGACUUCCAUCCUCUAGGGCUUUUAUUCUAAAAAGUGCUCCUAACAGGAGGUAGGCACAGACAGAGAGGUUGAAUGUUCACAUCCAGAGUCAGCUCCAGGAUCCAGUUCAUGCUGGACCUUUGGCAGGUCAUGGACCUUUCUGAACCUUUCCUCCUCCAACCACAGGAUGGAGAGAAGACUCUAUGUCAUACAGUUUAGUGAAGAUGAGCUCAGCACAGUGCCUGGCACAGAGUAAAGACGCAGGACCUAGAAACUUAUUACUAAGACAUUUUUUUCUAUGUCAACAACUCAAUGAAGCUUAGUUGCUGUCUACCAAGCUUUCUAUGUUCUUCCACCCACUAUGAAACUCAACCUCUUAAAAACUGCUGUCAUCUGGUCAUCCCAUGCCACCAAACCUUCCAUCAUUCUCCAUCAGCUAUAGGCUAAAACCAGAUUUCCCAGUUGGAAUAUCAGAGCCCUGUGCUCAGGCCCCCCGGCCCUUCCCACCUGAUCAUCUCUUGAACUCACUCUUCUAUACUACUGGUGCCUGCCCCUGGUCCCUAGCUCAUGCUGGCCUUUGCUACCUUUCACAUAUUCUUUUCCUCCUGCUGUGCUAAAGGAAUCCCCCCAUCCUUAAAGGCAUAGUUUCUUCUCUGAAAUUCUCCCUGACUACCAAGGCCUCUAGUCCCCCCAUUUUUUCGCUCACUGGCUAUAUCUAGCCCAUCACCAAGUUUUGUCUAAAAAUCUUCCUGCUAUUUAUCCAAUCAACCUAUUUUUCUCCAUCUCCUGAUGCCACCAUUUCUAUCCAGGUCACCAUGGUUCUUGCCUGAGUACCAAUAUGGCCUUCUGUCUGGUCCCCCUGCUCUAAGUCCUGGUAAGAUCACAUCACUUCUCUGAUUUAAACACCCCCCAGGGUUGUGUGUUGCCCUCAGGCUUGAGUCCCAAGUCAUUAAGAUGAGAGGGUAUUUCAUGACAGAUCUGUGCCCCUCCAGAUUCAUCUCCUGUCCCACUUCACCUUUCACAGCUAAUCUGAACUCCAACCAUUUCAUGCACCAUUACUUUCUGGGGCUUCUGUAUCUUUGUGUGGGCCCUAUCCUUGACAAGAGCACCCUUCCUUUCUCCCCUCCCUGGCUCCUUCUUAAUAUGGGUGUGGCUGGAAACCAGAGGCUGUGACAUGCCUUUUUGGUCCUCCUUAGGAUCUAAGGCAGGCAGGACCCACUCAACUGUGCUGUCCUCAGAGUGUGAUGGUAAUGGCUUAUUUGGCUGAAUAACCCUCUUCUCCACCCCUUCUCACUCAUCACAAAGGCCUUUAAAAGAUGUGGCCAAAGGCUGGGCUGGGGCUCAGUGGCAGAGUGCUUGCCUAGCAAGCAUGAGGCACUGGGUUCGAUCCUUAGCACCACAUACAAAAAAUAAGCAAAUAAAAUAAAAGCAUGCUGUCCAUCUACAACUACAAAAAAAAAAAAAAUGUGGCCAAAGCAGUAGAGAGGUCUUCAAGGGCUGAGGAUCCCAAGAACAAUUCUUCACACUGUGUCCCGUAAGUAGAACCAAUUCCUGAUCAUGAUUUAUCAAAAGUGUUUGACCCAUUAUUUCUUUCAAUCCUUAUGACCCUGUGAGUAGAACAACAGAUUAAUUUGCAAUGAAUCAAUUUCCUAUGGGUCAAAACCUUAAAAAAUACACAAAAGAGCAAGUCCAAUGGCCAGGUAUGGUGACACCAGUAAUCCCAGUGACUUGGGAGGCUGAGGCAGGAGGAUGGAGCCAGCCUUAGCUGGCUCAAACCCAGCAUCAGCUACUUAGCAAGGCCCUAAGCAACUUAGUGAGAUACUAUCUCUAAUAAAAUAUAAAACAGGACUGGAUAUGUGGUUCAGUGGUUAGGCACCCUUGUACAAAAAAUCAAUCAUCAAUCCCUGAUACAAAAAAAAAAAAAAAAAAGGCAAGUCCAAACUUGGAAUCUUUAUUUACAUGUGACUAGAAUUAGUCUGAGAGAGGAAAUAUUAAGAAACAAAACACUGGCCAGGUGUAGUGAUACACACCUGUAAUCCUAGCAACUCAGGAGGCUAAGGCAGGAGGAUGGUAAGUUUGAGGCCAGCCUCAGCAACAUAGUGAGACCUUUCUCAAAAUAAAAAAGAAAAGAACUGGGGAGGUAGCUCAAUGAUCAAGUGUCCCUGGGUUUAAUCCCCAGUACAAAAAAAAAAAAAAAAAGAGAGAAGAAAAAGAAACAAAACACUGUCAGGAAAUUUUGUUAGGGAGGGCCCAGUGAUUGCAAAGCCAGUAAAGGUCCGGAUUACAGAGGAACCUGGGUUGCUGCUCAAAAUGAGGUAGGAGCUGGCAAGGCCUGGGGGAAGAGCCUAGGGAAGAUGGGCUGAGCUGGGUUGGGGCCCUGGUCAGUUGACCCAGCCAUUGAGAAGUCCUGGUAAAGUUAGAGUUAGCAGCUAUUAUCCAGCAUCCAGGGAGGGAGGGUGAAUCAUUGCCCCUCAGCCUUCACAGGCUCCUGGCUGCACUCAUGGGGCACGUAGCCCCUAUAUUACUCCCCAUAUUCUCUCUGUCCUAUGGUAACCCCACUCAAAUUUCUAAUUAGCAAAAGGGUAUACUUUGUGUUUUCUCAAAAUUAUUUCCUAGUUCUUUGGAUGCUUUUUUAACCAUUGUUAUUUGCAAUGCUAUUGUCUAAUUUCAAAUGAGUAUGUGGUAAUUAAAUGAGAAGAUUAAAAUAAAGAAUUAAAACUAGUGACAUCUAUUUUAAAUAGUUUAAAGUUGAGACUUGGCUUCAAUUCUAAUAUGCCUAUUUUAACCCAUCUCUUCCUGUGUUAUUUAGAAUAAGCCGGGCCUUGAGAAUGUAAAAAAAAUCAUCAUGGAGUGGGACUCCUGAGGAAAGAAAUGACCAUAUCAGUAUGAAUUUCAGUCCAAGACACACUGAGCUGCCCGCUGGAACCCCCAGGUGCAGCAAGGGCAUACCAUCUGGUGAAGAAGAAGUGUUUCUGGACGAGGAGGUUCAAGAGGAAGUACACCACCCCUUCUGCUGCCAUGGCAAUCAGGUUCUUCCCAAUCAGGUCCCACUGGAAUGGAUUUGGGGAGUGCUCCUCACCUGGAGAUUUGAGGCCACUGAACAUCAAUAGGGUUUGAGUCUGUGUCAGCUGCCCCAGGUACCCCCUAAAAACCUGGCUACAAUAGGCCCAACUGGACCAGGCCUCAUGCAAGGGAUUAAGUAAGAGCCAAACAUGAGUCUCAUCUUGGCUUUCAAGUCAAAGAGGGAGAGAGUAAAAACCUGCCCUCUGCCCCUCCUGUGACUCCUGAGCCAUGAGAACAGAGGCACCCUAAUCCCUCCUGGGUGGCAGAAUAAACCCAAGCCAACACAGUGCCUUUCCACCCCAGCCCAGGGUACAGAUAUGAUUGUAUCCUGCAAUCCUCUCUGCCUCAAUGGAUCCAGGGCCUGUGCUCCAUGGACCUUGAAUGCCACCCACCAAACCGGGCAUAGACGUCUGUCACAGCCUGACUCAGGGCCAGGUCAAUGAGGCCCCGGCCCAGGCAGAAGUGGGGGAAGAUAAUGAGCAGCUUCCUCAGCAUGGCGUUGAACCUGAGUAGCAUCUGAAACAGAAGGACAACUGUUAGAUAUAAGGGCUGAUGCUGCCUACCCUGUCCUGAGCAGGUGGGCCGGGAUGCCCUCUCAGGGUGGGAGCAGAGGAGGUCUGCAGGAAAAGGACUUCCAGCUAGACUGGCCACAGGAGGGAUUGGUCAGGCAGGAUGCAGAGGGUUUGAUGUAGCCAUCCUGAAGUACUUACUGGAGGUGCCUCAGGACUAGGCCACAGAAGUAAUAAUAAAUUCAUG
rnacentral:lncRNA from 1 species